UGGGAAAAUCCACGCUAGACAAAGAGUAAUCCACUUCAUGAUCAUCAUUCAUCAUCACCUUCCUCGUCGUCCUCGGCGCCGGUGCCGGUGAGAACGUGCCAUUCGAGUCAGCUCAGCUCGAGGAAUCGGGCUGUUAGAUACCGAAAACACAAUGGCACGGCACGACCCAGAUACUCUACAGCGGAAUUUCCCCUUUGAAAAAUGGUGAAAGCUUAACUCUUGAAAGAGAAAUUCUUACAAGUUUUCAGUGUCUUUGGGCAAAUGCCCUUCUGCUGUUUCUUGUCUGAGAGCGAGCAUUUUUCCUUAGUUGUCAGUUCACUUCAUGUAAUGCCUGAUCUUUAUUGUAGCCCAUCUGCUAAGGAUCAUUUAGGUAAUGGUGUAUGAUAAAAUCCAGUUGAAAUCAUCAAAAAGGGUAGCGAGAAACCAGGAGCUAAUGUCUAGUGAGCAAAGAUCUGAAUCUUUUGGUUGGCAUUGUACCGGCUAACGCUAAAUGGGAGAAGCUCUAUCGGAUUGUUACUUAAAAAUGAGGUCCGAGAGCGUAUUUAUAUGCUUUCGAGCAAUAUUUUUCCCGGCUGGAGGAAAUGUGGCAGCCAAUUUGAUGGCAUUCGAGGUCUGGGAGAUGGGAGAAGACAGAGAAAUGGCAGUCUCCGGUUGUAUUGAUUCAGACAAGGGAAAAUGAGCCAUCUUUCAAAGGAUUUUGGUAAGUUUUGGUUGCAAAAUAGAUCAGAUUCUGUUUAUAUGAAACUCAUCAUCAUCUUCAUAGGAUGUGUGCAUUUUUAAGUUGCUUCAUACACAUGUAUUGAAUUCUAGAGAGAAUUCAGAAAUGGAAAAGAGAUUUGAAAAUAA